rnacentral:lncRNA from 1 species
CAACAGGGCCCUCUUUCAUCAUUUCUGGAGAAUUAAGAAACACAGGGAGCUUCUCAGACCCAUGACCAGAUGGACCUGCUCUCUGCAAGAGCCACAGCAAAUAAAAUAGGAAAGAUGAUCCUGACUCUUCUGCGAAUCCAUCCCCUGCUGCUGCUAUUGCUUCUCCAGGGGCUAGCAGGAGACCCUCUCUCAGUGGCUAAGGAGCUCCUAGCAGAGCAGCCUGGACAGCAUGUCAACAGCAGAGUACCAUGGGCCAGCAAUUUGUCCUACAAGAAAAAGAAGUUCAUGGACAAGUUUGUUGAUGAACUAAUGAUCCCUCUGCCUCCGGACGUGUACUGUAAUAUCUUGAUUAGGAGUAGAAAUGUCAUGGUUUCUUCGAGCCCGUGCAAGAAAGAACACUACUUCAUCCAUAGCUCCUGGGAUAAUCUACGAAAUGUGUGUAAAAAUAACAAAUUCCCAUGCAAGAAUUCCAUGAAUAGCUGUUACCAGAGCACAGCAUAUAUGGAUAUGACAGUUUGUCAGCUACUUGAUGGUGAUCUGUUCCCUUAUUGUGAAUACACAUCUGUUAAAAAAAGGAAAAAAGUGGUCCUCUCCUGCAAGAAGCUGAAAGAUUCCACUUCCCUUUUCCCUAAUACUGUGGAAACAAUUGCUGACUAAGCCAGAUGAAUUGUCCAGUUCAGUAGGCUGAAAGCACUGGGCUCUGCUUUCAUCUCGUCCAACCCCAGAGACUAUCCUCAGACGUGGGAAGGAUGGAUAGAAUAUCAGAGACAUGAAUCCCAUCCACGAAAAUGUUUCAUGAAGGAAACUGAAAUUACAAGUUCCACUCCAUCCAUUUCCAUCAUUCUGUGAGCAGCAGGAGCCAGUCCUAGGUGGGUAGGAGCCCCAGUCUGGGAGCUGAUUGGAUAAAGUAUCUGAUUAUAUGAAGAUGAUGGGCAACAGUGAGAGGAAGAGGGACUUUCUUCCUUGAUUUGUAUCCCAGUGCUUUGCUGAACUGAGUGAUUUAGCUAAAAACAAUAAAGUGCAUUGCUCUA